rnacentral:rRNA from 1 species
CCUACGGGAGGCAGCAGUGGGGAAUAUUGGACAAUGGGGGGAACCCUGAUCCAGCCAUGCCGCGUGUGUGAAGAAGGCCCUCGGGUUGUAAAGCACUUUCAGUGAGGAAGAACGCCUGGUGGUUAAUACCCAUCAGGAAAGACAUCACUCACAGAAGAAGCACCGGCUAACUCCGUGCCAGCAGCCGCGGUAAUACGGAGGGUGCGAGCGUUAAUCGGAAUUACUGGGCGUAAAGCGCGCGUAGGUGGCUUGAUAAGCCGGUUGUGAAAGCCCCGGGCUCAACCUGGGAACGGCAUCCGGAACUGUCAAGCUAGAGCGCAGGAGAGGAAGGUAGAAUUCCCGGUGUAGCGGUGAAAUGCGUAGAGAUCGGGAGGAAUACCAGUGGCGAAGGCGGCCUUCUGGACUGACACUGACACUGAGGUGCGAAAGCGUGGGUAGCAAACAGGAAUAGAUACCCGUGUAGUC